AGCGAACGCUGGCGGCAGGCCUAACACAUACAAGUCGAACGAACCCUUCGGGGUUAGUGGCGGACGGGUGAGUAACACGUGGGAACGUGCCUUUAGGUUCGGAAUAACUCAGGGAAACUUGUGCUAAUACCGAAUGUGCCCUUCGGGGGAAAGAUUUAUCGCCUUUAGAGCGGCCCGCGUCUGAUUAGCUAGUUGGUGAGGUAAAGGCUCACCAAGGCUACGAUCAGUAGCUGGUCUGAGGGGAUGACCAGCCACAUUGGGACUGAGACACGGCCCAAACUCCUACGGGAGGCAGCAGUGGGGAAUCUUGCGCAAUGGGCGAAAGCCUGACGCAGCCAUGCCGCGUGGAUGAUGAAGGUCUUAGGAUUGUAAAAUCCUUUCACCGGUGAAGAUAAUGACUGUAGCCGGAGAAGAAGCCCCGGCUAACUUCGUGCCAGCCGCCGCAGUAAUAC
rnacentral:rRNA from 1 species